rnacentral:lncRNA from 1 species
AAACACAAAGUAUUGAGUAUCACUAAUUUGACUCUUGUAAAAUUGCCGGAUUAACAAGAUGGUAGGCUGGCAUACUCACAUCGCAGUCACUUUCAGAACAUCUAAAACCACCUCCACCAGAACAAGGUUCGCUGAAGGUAAUAUAUACUGACGCAUUUGACGCAUUUGUAAAUGAUGAUGAAGUACUAACAUAUGCCGUCGGAGGAACCGUGUCUGAAAGGGAAAGCAUUAGAUCAGACAAUGGUUCAUGAAGUCUACACACGAAAAGUUGAUUGCCUUUUAACACCUAAACUUCUCAUUGGUUAAUGUUCAUGCUCAUCGCGGCACUUUUUAUUGAAUCGUGAAAAGGUGUAUUGCUGCACUAUCAGUCUUGUUAUACACAAUAAAUGCAAGUCUAAAUUGAAAUCAUUCCAUUUUAAAGAGUAGAUAGCAUCCGAUAAAGAAGCUUUCAUAAUUUCCAUGACAAAUUAUUACAGAAAAUCAAAAUUUCAAGGAUAGCAGAGAGAGCACCCUAAGAUCCACUCAUGCGGACCCCGGAUGUUCGAGCUUGUGUAGCAUGUAAAAUUUGUUACAGAAGCACCACAAUUCAAUAGUGUAGAAGGAAAGUCACUUAACCAAUAACCCAAUUAUGUGCAGCACAAACAGCUCCUCGAGAUCCAUUCAUGCAGACCUCGAAUGUGUGGUUUCCAUCGUGCAAUCCUGUGUACGUAACUUCUGUAGAGUUGCAGCUUGAUGAACUGUAGUUGUCUAACUGCAACAAUUUGCAUGUGAAAAUAAUUAGACAAAAAAGAAGAAGAAGAAGAUUGAACAUGCUUUAACACAAUUACCGAAAGAUAUCUACGGCAAAAAUUGCUAAUUUAGAAUAUUUGAGAUUUAUGCUAACAAGAACUGACUUGGAAUUCUACAACUAGAGCUCACAAUUUUCUCAUGAUAAAUCCAAAUUUUACUACAGAGAUUAAUGUAUCAUCACAAUCUAGUGCCAAAAGAUCAGUCCUACUAAUUAUAUUAUUAUCAAUCUAGUGCUAAAUUUCCCCAGAUAUUAAACAUAGCCACACUUUGGACAUCACUUUCUUUUGACUCUUAACUUUGGUCAUCAGCUACUAAACAUUUGAGCAAUUGUAACCGGAGCUAAUUCUUAAGCAUGCACAAACAUUUUGGCAAUAACAAUUUGAUACUUAAAAGUAUCAAUGAGUACCAAAGAAACAAAUGUCGCGGCAGCACACUUAAUAAACCAACCUUGCAGCUGAAAUAGCAGUUGCUGCAAAACCCCCCAUUCCCACCCUCCCUACCCUCGAAGGCAAAUGCGGCCGACGGCGAAGCCGAGAGCGGCGGCGGAGCUCUCGAGAACUUCACCAUGGCAGCAUCAGAACCACCACCAUCUCGCUGGGGCAGCAGGGAAGCCCCACAGAGUAUAACAGCCACCCAGGUGAGCAGAGUCAUCUCUAACUCCACUCCACUCACAAGAUGGAUGAGACCCCCCCCUCCCUCUCCUGGAUAUAUAACAGGACAAUAGUAUAAAUGUUGUGGUCCCUCUAUAUAAUACUAGUCUCUCUCUCUCUACACACACACUCUCUCUCUCUUUCUCUACCCUUAUCUUUGAUUCUUGGGUGGUGAAAAUUGAAUGGUAUUGUUGGUAAAAUGGAGUUAAGGAAGGGAACAGAGGAGGGGUCUCCCUGCUCUCAAUGUAGAGAGAGAGAAAGAGGCAUCCUCAUUGCAAUCAAUGAAUGCCUCUGCCUCUAAACUCUAAACUCUAAACUCUCUAGAGAGAGAGAGAGAGAGAGAGAGAGAGAGAGAGAGAGAGAGAGAGAAGGAGAGGUGAUGAUGAGCAAUGGUGGGAAAUGGUGUUAGGGGGAUAAUACUAGCAAACAAAUGGUGAUAAUAAUAAUGAUGUGGGCAUGUGAGUAACGUGAGGGUGAGGAGUGAGAGAUGUGUAUUAUAUUUAUAUAAAAGAUGGGGGAGGGAGGGGGGUGGUUGGCUGAGAGGAGUUUGCUGGAGAUAAAUCGCACAUGAGGUCGGACAGACGCCAGCCUCUAAUGUCUCUGCUCUGCCCUGCCUUUUUCUUGGGGAGGACUGCUACCCGUCCUGCUGCUGCUGCUGCUGCUGCUGUGGUUAAAUAAUUGCGUGGUUAAAUAAUUGCGUGAACCCAGGUGCUGCACCUGCAUUUUGUAUUACUUGCCUACUUAAUUCAAAGUCUAAUAUGUCGAGCGCUAACUAUUAAUUUCAAAAGUUUGAGCCGUUAGAAAUACGCAAUCAAUUUAUUUAAACCGUACAGAUAUAGUGCCUAUGGGUCUUGAUUGUUAUUCGGCCCAACUAGCCUUAUGCCACUUCGAACAUGACUCGGCUCACCCAGCCUCACGCCCUUUUGAAUAUGACUCAGCCCAACAUAUCCUUCCGUCACAUGACAGGAUAUUGGCCCAUUUAAGCCAACAUAAUCUUCUUGCCAAGUAUAUUCCCAAGCAUGUUUUUUAUUAGACUGUAUUUUUUUAGUAGCAUGAAGCCCUGGCAUACCUAAUAUAGUUAGCUAAAAGCUUGAUGGUUGGUAACAUGGAUUUCAAGUUCGAAGCCUGUUUGUUCUAUAUUUCUAGCUGAGUAUAUUUCUAAAAAAAAUAAUAAUAAACAAAAGGGAUAAGAUUGAUAUCUUUCUUUUUGUAAACAAAAAAAGAGUAGCAUGGUAUUGAGUGCACAGAUGAGCUUCGUCGGCCUGGUGCUGGAUUAAGGUUGGAAGUCGAGAACUUUAGAGGAGUAUUUUGGUGAUAGUUUUGCUCACGAUUUUUAUUAUUAUCUUUGUCUAAGCUUCAUCGAGUAUGAAAGUAUCAAAAAGAAUCAAGAAAGGAAAAAAAAAAAUUACAUAAAAUUUAUCUAGUUCGGCUACUCUCAACCAUAUAUUUAUGUGAAUGAUUAAAUUCCGGUAAGAUUAGAAGUAAAAUCUAAUAAAAUUACAAACAAUUCUAAUUUAACUAAUUGAGUCGACCAAAUCCUGAGAUUUAUUCCAACUUAAAAUAUGAAGUAACUAAACUUUGAACUUGGAACUAAGGUAUCAACCAUCAAACACUUAACCAACAGCCAAUUCUCUAAUAGAAAUUAAAUUCUCGUUAAUUAUAUCACCAGUUAAUUUCACGUAUUAGUUAAUUUGAUAAGUCAGAAUAUAAGAAAAUUUUGAUAACUCAGAAUUAAAAAAAAAUAAUAAUUAAAUAUUAGAUAAUCUGUUAUAAAUAUACCAUAUAAAGAGUUGCAUGAUCCAAAGGACUAACCUCAUCAAAGUUAAGUAGUUGCAAAUCUCAACAACUAAAUACAUAUUGUUCAAUUUUUAAAAUUUGAAAUUUUGAUGGAGUAAAUCCUAGUUUUGAGAUAUAUAAUUUAUGGUUGGAUUUUUAAUAGUAUGUUGCACGAUGCACCGGGUCCAUGCAACAGUUCCCCUCUGCUGUAAGGGUAAAAUAUGAGGUGGCUGUUUAAAGAAUCAGAAGCUGUGAUCUCUGUGUUUUGCUCACCUCCUCCGUAACCUUCUCCUGUGCUAUGCAUGUAUUUUUUUUUUUUUAAACUGACCCUAAAAUAUUUUAUAAUUCGCUUAAUAAGUUUAUCAAAAUUUUAAUUUACAAAGUAAUCUUAUUUUUUAUAAUUCAACACCCUAGUGAAAAGAGAAAUAAUUAAUUUUGUCCAACUCAGCACCACAGUGGAAGAAUAAAUCAGGUUGGUGGAAUUUUUAUUUAGUUGUUUUUGUUGGAAUAAUAAUUCAAAUUUAAUUAAAAUAUAGUUAGAGAUAAGUUUAAGUCUUUUACUUGACUAUGGCUAGGAUUUGUAAUUAUCCAAAGUAAAAGUCGAAUUUAUCAUCUGGUAUAACUUGAUAGCUAUAUAUAUUUAGGCAUGGGUUAAUUUUAGAUGAAUAAGCCACUGUGGAUAUGGCUGCAUGGGUGUUACCCAAAAUAUAAUUAAAUACUUUUUAUUAAUAAAGUAUUUGUUUAGUUAUUUUCUUACUCUUUCAAUAUCUUUUCUCCAUAUUAUUUUGUUCGAUUUUAGAUCUUAGGUUAUAUUAUUGGUAUCAGAGCAAAUCACGUUUUCAACAAUUAUGAUCAAAAUGUCUCAAAAAUAAUUAUUUUAACGGUUGAUAUGGCAUAUUUUUAGGUUCAACGGUGUAAGACAAUCCAAAUAAUAUGAUCAAUACUUCUGAUUUAAAAUUUGAAUGUUUUAUCACUAUUUUUUAUGAGAUUUUUAUUUUUAACCAUUUAUUUUAAGGCUACUCGUUUACUAGGCAAAUAAAGUCAAAAAAUUAUGAAAUUUGAUUUUUAUAUAGUUACAACAGCGUAGAUCAUGUUUAGGGUAUGUUUGUUUCACCGAAACUUGACUUUGGUUGAAGUGGACUUUGGGUUGAGGUGGAGUUCGAUGAAAACUAUUUUUUUUUAGCUGUUUGUUUCGUAGUUAUGAAAGUGGAGUUUCAAUAGUUCUGCUGUUUGUUUGGUAGAAAAUGUAUGAUGUAAAACUAUAAUUUAUGUAUAAAUAAUAAAUAAUUUAAUAAAUAAAAAUAAUAUAAUUAUAUUUAAUAUAAUUAAAAUUUAAUUUAAAACAAUUAAAUUAUUUUUUUUUAUACCUAAAUUAUAAUAAUACAACAAUAAAACUAUGAAGUAAAAAAAAUUAAUACUUGAUUAAUCAAUUUUUAUCAUAUUUUAGAUAUGUCAACCGAAUAAAAAAAUAAUUAAUACCAUAAUUAAAUAUAAUUAUCUUUAUUUAGUAUAUUAUUUUAUUAUUUUUUCUUCUCCCUCCUUCACCGUAAUUGACUUUGGCCCACGAUAGGCCGAAGUCAAUUACGCCAUAUCGGGGUAACUCGAGUUUCAGCCGUAACUAUUUUACGGCGAACCAAACAGCAGAAGUGAUAGAUUACGGCGUAAACGACUUCCCUCCUCUCCACUUUCCCUCACUUCCACCCAAACAAACACACAACGAAACUGAUUACUGAAUCGAAUGUUCUAUUAUCGAAAACAACUUACAAGCAAAAGUACAGGAGAGCCUAGUUCAUAAUUGUAUUGUCGGUUUGUAGAUUUUUUGUGAAUUUUAAAAUUAUAUAUUUGUUAUUAGAAAUUUUGUAUGGUUAUUAAAAUUAAGUGAGAAAAAUAUAAGAAGAAACUGUAGAAUCAUUUUCUUUUUAAUUUUUUUUUAAGUUUUAUUAAACAGUAAAUUAUUCAUCGUUUUUUAACUGAGUUGGAUAAAAUAGAAUUAUUUAGCCAAAUUAUGUUAAAUAUUUCCUAUGCCUCUUCCUCAUAGGAAACCCAUGUUUUGUUUGAUCAUUGUUGAGCGAGGGUGGUGACCGUACUUUUUGGCCCAAUGAUUUCACUCGGCUUCUAGUAAAAGCCACUCUGGCAUUUGCCUCUCAAACUCUCGUGACCGUGGUGCAUUUAACACCGGUUGGUUUUUUAGGCUUAAUUUUGUAGUGAGAUCCAUCUAAUGUUAUUAAAUAAAAUAAAGUUGAGAUAAAAAUAUAUAAAGAUAUAUUUUUGCGUUAUCGUAACUGACUCAUCGCGAUAUACGAAACACAACACGUACGUAACGUAAUUCUCAAACGAAGUCUGUUUAGUUUGAUGCCUAUCUAACGCUAUUAGAUAAAAUAGAGUUAGGAUAAAAGUAUAUGGAAAUAUACUUUUGCGUUUCUCCGGUGGGACCGGAGAAAAUAUAUCGUAACUGACUAAUCGCGAAUGUAAUAUUACGUAUGAAACCAAUAGUGUAUUUUUCUAUCGUAUUUUUUCACCACAUGUAAAACAAUCUUCCGCAAUCCAAAACGAAACCAAACGAAACCAAAGAUGAUGUGAGAAAAAAAGUUUUUCAAGAAAAUAUUUUUAUAAUUUUUUUUCAACUUUUUGCCGAUUUAAUUCAAAGAAAAACUAAUUUCUUCAAAAGUUUUUUUUUUUCAGAAUUUAUGAAAAAGUAGUAUUUUUGUGUUCCUAAUAAAAGGGCAAACGAAAUACUAUUUUCCAUGAAAUUUAGACAAAAAAAACUUUACAAAAAAAUUAGUUUUUUUUUUUAACCAAAAAGACGAAAAAAUGAAAAAGAAAAACUUUAUCAUGAAAAACUUUUUUCUUCGAAAUUUUUUUCUCCACAUUUUUUCAAGAAACAAAUCAGCCUUUUAAUUUUCAAACUUUAAAUUAUUAUUAUUAAAUUUUAUAAUCUAAUUUAUUAACUAAAUUACCGUGUCGCCGAUACGAAAGUGAUAAGAAAUCUUAAUAUUGCUGCACCAUCAACCACACUUCCAUACUAGCAGAAUAUCAAUAUUUAUCUACUAAAUUAGAUUCUGGGGCUUAAUUAUAAUAAUUUUAAAAGUUUAAAUUAGUAAUUUUGUUCAUGAUCUAAUAUGUAAAUAACUUUUUUGUCUAAUUAAGUUUAUUUUAUUUCAAUAUUAUAUGGGUCUUACGUUGAUCUUAAUUAACAAUUAAUUAAACUUACAUAUAUUUGUGAAUUUAUUUUCUACUUUGUCUAAAUUAUUAUAAUUUUUUGUUUGCUAUUUGUGUAGUUUAGUUUGUUCCAAUUAAAUAGUUUUAAUUUGUUCUCAAGCAAAAAUAUUUAAGUUAAUUAAAAAAAGUAUAGAUAAUAGAUGAUGGAUAAAAUAAAGAUUUUAUUUAGUUUUUAGAUAAACUAUUAUCAAUAUAGAUAUUUGGGCCGUUUGGUCUAGAUUCUAGAAAAGUGAUUUCUAUAGAAUUUAUUUUGGUUAAAAGGUACUGAGCGUUUGACUGAGUUUAAAUAAAAGUGAUUUUUCUGAAAUAAUUUUGUAAAGAUGGUUUGGCAAAAAAAAUUUGAUAUUUGCAUACAAUAAUAUUUUUUACUAAAUUCUAUUUCAAAAUAAUUUAAAAUUUGAAUUAAAUUUAAAAUCUAUACUUUAAUAUUUGUACAAAAUUUAAAAAUUAAAAUUUUAAAUAUAAAUUUAAAAUUUUGAAGUUUGAGUCCAAAAUUAGAAUUAGAUUUCAAGAAGUAGGUUUUUAACUGUUUCUAAUUUUGAGUCUCGAAAAUUAGAAAACUGAUUUUAAAAAUUAGAAUCAGAUUUUGAACAAGAAGUUACUAACGCUCUAUUGAGUUAAAAAUUACUUGUAAACCCAAAAUCAUUUUUCAAACACUAGAUUAAACACCCACUUAUGAUUGUUUCUCUAAAUUAGUGGGAUAUUUUUAGAUAUUGAGAUUUUUUUAUAAUUUAGGUUUGAAGGAAAGGAGCAUAAGAAAUCAUUUGAAUUAAAUAUUAUUUUCUAAAAUUAGAUCAAAUUUGUACAACAAAUAUAGCACAACUUAUAGUUGCACUAGAAUGCUAUUAAUUAUUGCAACCAAGUUACUACUAUCAAGUAUUCGGCCCUUGGAUCAAGCGACACGGAUGGUGGGUCUCCAAUUGCGCAGAGAUCUAAGGGUCAAAAUGUUGAUUAUACCAAUAGUUUUGUUACUCUUAACUUUACUUUUAUAUCCAUAAAGUUAAUAAGUAAACAAAUAAUUAACUAAUGCAUAAUCUAAUAAAGUAGUUAUUAUUAUCUACAACUAAUACUUAUCUUUAUGUUUCAAAAUCUAAUAAAUUAAUACAUAUAAUUAAUAUCUAAUACUUUCUUUUUGUAUUUCUUAUUCACAACCAAAACCCCCUCGCUCUUUUAUCCCCCCUCUAGCUCUCUCCAUAUAUUCAUAACCAAAGCAACAGCUCUUCCAAAAAAAAAAAGGAAAAGGUACUCUCUCUUUCUCCUUUCUCCCUCUCUCUCUCAAAAAAAAAGCUUGUAAGUAAGAGGGAAAAAAAAGGAGUUUCCUUUUGCCUUUUUGUCUUAGGUAGAAAUUUUUUCUCUCUUUAGCAUUAUUUUAUUUUCUAAGUUUCAAUCAAAUAUGCUAUUGCAUUUUUUUUUUUCCUUUUGAGAGAAAAAUAACAAGUUAUUGUCUAUUAUAUUUGUUUCUGAUUUGUAUUUAUGUUAAAUCUCUUGAAACUCUUUCUAUAUUCAAAAUUUAUUAAUUUUUUCCAUAUAAAAUUUUCAAAUGUCAUAGAACACAUUCAUUGAGUUAGGAUUUUGAGAUCUCUAUUACAGAGUUUUUUGGAUACCAUGUAUAUAAUAAUGUACUUAUACAUUUGGUGCAUGCAAUAAUCUAAAAUAUGUAUUUUACCUAUAUUAUAAUAUAUGAAAACUGAGAGAAAAAAGGAAAAAUAAUUUAAAAUUAUAUCAAUCAAUAGUCUUAAAUUUUAAGUUGACAUACAAAAGAGAUAUGGAAAGAAAUAUAAAUAUAGGCAGAAAACAAAUCUAAGGAAAUUUAUUAGGAUCAUCUUCUAUUUUAUAUUUAUCUAUAUUAUCUAUCAAUACUAUAUAUAAAAGCAGAUAUUUUGAAUUUAGAUUUUUCAACAAACUCACCAUUUAGAGAAAAGAGUUUGAUUCUUUCUUUUUCUUAUGCAAAAGAAAUAACGUAACAACAAACUUUUAAUCUUUUUUCUCUAAUGGAUAACCUUUCAUCUUUUUUCUAUACAAUAUUUCUAUAUUAUUUUAUAUCUUUUUGUUUGGAUGAAUAUUUUUUAGGUUCUUCAACACUAUCUACUAAUAUUUAUUUGUUAUAUUGACUUUUUAUUAAUUGCAAUCUACAAUAAAAUUGAAUUUAAUUUCAAAUAUAUAUUUAAAUUUUAAUCUAAUAUAAUUUAAAUUUCUAAAUUUCUAAAGCAAAAGUAAAAUUUGAAUUUAAAUUGUGAAUUAAAAUUUAUUUUGGAUAUCAAAUUUGAAUUAACAAUUAAAGAAUUUUAAUUAAAGUGGAUCAAAAAACAUGUAGAAAUAUGGAUUUAUCAGAAAUAAAAAAAAUAUGCAGAAAUAUUUAGUACAUAUUAGAAAAAAGUAGAAUUAUAUAAUUUAUCACCUACAUCAACUAUAUAAAUUGAGUUAAGAUAUGACAGAUAUUUUUUAAUAAAAUAUAGUGGAUAAUUUUAUUUUUUAAAAAUUUAAAUUUUUAUUGUAAAUUUUUGGAUAACAAUUACAUAUANUGAUUUAUAAAGACGUAUAAAAAAAAUAAAGACUAUUUAGGUAUAAAGACAUAUUAGAAAAAAGUAGAAUUAUAUAAUUUAUCACCUACAUCAACUAUAUAAAUUGAGUUAAGAUAUGACAGAUAUUUUUUAAUAAAAUAUAGUGGAUAAUUUUAUUUUUUAAAAAUUUAAAUUUUUAUUGUAAAUUUUUGGAUAACAAUUACAUAUAAAUUUUUUAUAUUGAUUUGAGAUAAUUAUUAAAAUAAUUAUGUCUAUAUAUAGAGCUAGGCUGGUAUACUAUUGGUAGUACGGAGACCUUCGUGCUACCAAGUUGUUUUCAAUAUUGUGGCUUCCAAAUCGACGAUCGGCUCCGUUAGACUUGAUCUACACUAUUAAAAGUAUUUGAAAACUAAAUUUCAUAAUUUUUCGGCAUCAUUUACCUAUCAAACGAAUAGUAUAAAAAUGAACGGCUGAAAAUAAAAAUCUCAUAAAAAAUGAUAAAAAAAGACUUGAAUUUAAGAUCAGAUGUACUGAUCUUACUCUAAAUAGUGAAAAAAAAUUUCUAUAAAAAUUUCAUCAGAUUUGGAUUGUUUUACACCGUUAAAUUCACAAAUGCAUCACAUCAACAAUGCAUCAUAUCAACCAUUAAAAUUGUCAAUUUUGAGACCUUUUGAUCACUAGCCAAAUGAUAUCAAAAAAUUAUGAAAUUUAGUUUCCAAAUACUUCUAAUAGUGUAGAUCAAGUUUAACGGAGCCGGUCAUCAAUUUGGAAACCGAAUCAUUGAAAACAACUUGGUAGCACAGAGACCUCCGUGCUACUGAAUAGUAUACUAGCCUAGCUCCUAUAUAUAUAUAUAUAGAGAGAGAGAGAGAGAGAGAGAGAGAGUAGUUCUUUUGUGCUAUUAGCAUAAUGGAGACCUUCGUGUUCCUAAGCCGUUUUCAAUAAUGGAACUUCUGAGUCGAUGAUUGACUCCGUUAAACUUGAUCUAACAUAUUUGAAGUAUUUACAAAAUAAAUUUUUUGAUUGUUCGAUAUCAUUUACCUUGUGUCGAAAUGACUAAAAAUCAAUGGUUGAAAAUAAAAAUCUCACAAAAGAUUUUACAUAGUACUAAAAUUUUCGAUCACAGAUAUUAAUCUUGUUGUAAAUAGUAUAAAGAAUUUUCUAUCAAAAUUUUAUUUGAUUUAAAUACUUUUACACUGUAAAACUUGCAAACGACACACAUCAAUCAUUAAAAUUUUUUGCUUUUAACUCUUUUGAUCAUUAGAUAAAUGAUAUCGAAAAAUCGCAAAAUUUUUUCUAAAUACUUUAAGUACACUAAAUCAAGUCUAAUGAAGAUGGUCGUCGAUUCGGAAGUUUAAUUAUAACAAACAACUAGACGGAGCCCAUGUACUCCCGGUAGCACACAAGUCCUAUUAAAGUUUAGCUGCAAUACUAUCUGUAGCACGGAGAUCUCCAUGGUACCAAGUUAUUUUCAAUGGUGCGGCUUCCAAAUCAACGAUCGGUGCUGUUAGACUUGAUCUACACUAUUGUAAGUAUUGGAAAACUAAAAUUCAUAGUUUUUUGAAAUUAUUUACCUAUUAAACGAGUAGUCUAAAAAUGAAUGGCUGAAAAUAAAAAUCUCAUAAAAAAUGAUGAUAAAAGACUUGAAUUUAAGAUCAGAGAUACUGAUCUUACUCUAAAUAGUGAAAAAAAAUUAUAAAAAUUUUAUCAGAUUUGAAUUAUUUUACACUGUUAAAUUCGCAAAUACAUCAUAUCGAUUAUUAAAAUUAUCAAUUUUGAGACUUUUUAAUCACUAGCCAAAUAAUGUCGAGAAAUUAUGAAAUUUAGUUUUCAAAUACUUUCAAUAGUGUAGAUCAAAUCUAAUGGAACUGAUUAUUGAUUUGGGAACCGCUUCAUUGAAAACAACUUAGAAGCACGAAGGCCUCCAUGAUACAAAUAGUAUAGUAUUCUAUCUCUCUCUCUCUCUCUUUCUAUAUAUAUAUAUUCUACAUUAUUGAAAGUAUUUAAAAACUAAAUUUUAUAAUUUUUUGACAUUAUUUGGCUAGUGAUCAAAAUGUCUCAAAAUUGAUAAUUUUAAUGAUCGAUGUGAUACAUUUGUGAAAAUGUGAUAAAAUUUUUAUAAAUUUUUCUUUUCACUAGUUAGAGUAAGAUUAGUAUCUUUGAUCUUAAAUUCAAAUCUUUUCUCAUCAUGUUUUAUAAAAUUUUUAUUUUCAGCCGUUUAUUUUUAGACUACUAUAUUCUGAUAGGUAAAUGAUGUCCAAAAAUUAUAAAAUUUAGUUUUCAAAUACUUUCAAUAGUAUAGAUCAUAUUAUUUUAUCUUAUUUUUAAAAUAAAAAAAUAAUAAUGGACCCUCGUAACCCUAUGAAAUUUUCCACAGCUCACAUACAAUUCUAAAAUCUCAUAAAAAUUCACAUAUAAUCAAAAUAAAAUUAGUUUAUCAAAAUAGACUAGGGCUAUUAUAUUCUUAUAAAUAUAAACUCCUUUGUACUCGUAAGUUUUCGGCUAUUUACUAAAGGAAUGUAUAGUUCUCCGAUUAGGAUGAUAGUGGUCCUAUGAUCUAACUGGUAAAAAUAGUCAAAGAAAUAAUUCUGAUGAUAAAAAAUUUAAAAAAUGUAAACUCAUAAAAAUAUAAAUAGUUGAACUCUAUCAAAUAAAUAUGUGUUUGUAAAAUUAUUAUGAAUUAUAAAUAAGAGUCCGCAUAAAUAUAUAGUUUCUGUGCAAACUGACCGUUCUGACGAGAUGCUUUAUGAGAGACGAAUGCGAAGCUAGAUUUUGUUUUUUUUCCUCUUCUUAGUUUUUUUUUAUUUAAUAAUAAUCUCACCGCGCGCCCGUUCCCCUCCCCCAUUUCUCUCUCUCAUCUCUCUCUCUCUCUCUCUCUCUUUCUGUCCCAACCUCCAUUUACACGCUCUCUCUUUGUCUCUCUCUCUAGGGUUUCUCGUUCCCCUCGUCGUUGGCGCGGGAUGAGCUCUCCCCACGUGAUCGACCUGUCGAGCGACGACGAGGACGACGAAGACGGGGCGCUCGACCUCGAAUCCCGCUUCAAAGACGCCAAAUUUGUGCUUCCGCUGAGCACCAAUGGCGUGGGGGGGAGCUUUUGCGGUGGGGGGGCGGCGGCCUGUAGAGAGCUCGUGGUGAAGCAGGAGAUCGAAGAGAGCAGGAGCUCCAACAGCGGCUCCUGCUUGUCGGAGCAGGCGACGUCGUCGGCCGCUGCUGAAGCUGCGGCUGCGGCUGCGGCUGCGGCCGCGGCCGCGGCCGCGGCGCCCAAUUUGGCCUCUGCGCCGCGGCUGUGCCGGCAAUUUUGGAAAUCCGGGGAUUACGAAGUGUUAGGCCACGAUGCGGCGCCGCAACCACGCGGUUCGAUUCAAAAUUUGGUUAAUUUUUUUUGCUUCUUUUGGAUGUUUAUGAGAAGUGUUUGAUUUGUUCUUGUGAUUUCUUGGUGUUUUCAGGUGGGAGGAACCGGUUGCGGAUUAAUCCCAAGUUUCUGCAUUCAAAUGCGACUUCGCACAAGUGGGCUUUUGGUGGUAUAAUUCUUGCCCCCUUGUUGUUGUUUUUUUUUUUUUUUCGUGAACAGAGAUCAAAUGUUGCAAAAGUUUGAUUUUUUUUUUUCUGUGUUUUGAUCUCUUUAUUUUGCAGCAAUAGCAGAGCUUCUUGAUAAUGCAGUUGAUGAGGUAGGUGUGGAAGGUCAAGUCCUUUGAUGUUUCAAUUCUUGGAUUUUGUAUAUGUUGAGUCCAACUCAAUAAAGUUUCAAUAAGUUGGUCCUAGUUAGAUAGCUCCAAGUAUUUUUGAAUAAUGUCCACAUAAAAGGUUUUCAGAGUUGAAUUUUAAACUGCAAAAUCUCAUUUUUGAUGCUAAUUAGCAUGUUGUUCUUAUGUAAACAGGUGCAUAAUGGUGCCAGCUUUGUCAACGUUGAUAAAUUUGUUAAUCCGCGGGAUCAUAGUGCUGCAUUACUGAUUCAAGGUACCUCAGAACAUGCAAAACACUUUUUUUGUUUUGUUUUUGUUUAUUACUCUCUGACCCAGUGAUUGUUUUGUGAAUAAGAUGACGGAGGAGGAAUGGACCCAGAAUCCUUGCGCCGUUGCAUGAGCUUCGGAUUUUCUGAUAAGCAAUCGGAAUCUUUCAUUGGACAAUGUAUGAAAUUUUUGCUAUUUAAUCUGCAUGCUUUUCAAUCUUAUUUUCUUUUUCUUUUGCUCUUUCUUUGUUUUCCUAGUAAUUUGUUGUGUUGGAACAUAGAUGGAAAUGGUUUCAAGACCAGCACUAUGAGGCUUGGAGCAGAUGUGAUUGUUUUCAGUCGCUGCAGGAAGAACAUGUACCUUCUCAUGUCUAACUGUCUCUGUACUUCGUGUUUACUUACCAUACUCUGUUAUGAUCAGAUACUUAUUUGAAAGGUUGUUAUUAAAUAAUAUCAUAUUACCCACAUAUUAUAAGUAUGGAACUAUGAAUAUUCAGGGUAACAUGUAAUCGAAACCAGCAAAAGGAUAUUGGAUUCUCUAUUGUAGCCGGAGGCAUUUAAAUGUGUAAUAUAUAGUAGAAUACUGAGUACAAGGUUUUAAGUGCCCGUCGGCACGAGCUGUAUUUAUCGUGCCGUACCGUGCCAACAAGAUACCGGCACGAUACAGACCUCGUGUCGAUGGCACAGCUCAAAACUCUCUAUUCUUUAAAUUAGUAAGUAAUUUUCUCAAUAAAGUUCAAAAGAUGUGAUAAAAAGACAUAAUAAAUAGUUAUAAUAUUUUGUUGCUAAAGAAAAUAAAUAUUUCAUGCUACUAUGUGUCGGCAUACAAGAAUUUUUUUUACCAGCACGCAUCGGCAUGGCUUGGCACGCACCGUGCCGUACCGUGUCGGCAAGUUUCUGGCACGACCCUGUGCCACGACACUUAAAUCUUUGACCGAGCAUAAUGAGUUUUAGCUUGGAUUACAUGUAGGUUGUAGGUUCCUAAAAGGGAUAAUGCCUGUAAACGCCUAGGCAGUCACCGACAACAACACUACAUAUUAUUACUUGCAUUCUUACCUCUGUUGUAAUUUGCAUCAGUAACUUCGUUCAUAGGAAUAUGUAACUUUGGGCCAUAAACCUGUUACGCAGUUUUUGAUACUUAUACUUUAGACAUUUACUUUAUAACACGCAUGCUAUGUAUAUGCUCAUUGGAAGGUGCCUUUUCAUUACCUGUAUUAUAUUUAUGCAUCUAGUCUAUAUAUUAUUACUAUUACUCAGUAGUUUACUGUUGUUCUUUUGUUUUUUCAAAAUAUGCUCAUAUUCUUCACAUGUGCAAUCUUCUUGACUACCUUUUUUCUCUUUUUGCAUGUAGGGCAUUAACUCAAAGUGUUGGUCUCCUUUCUUAUACCUUUCUAAGGCAAACACAUUGUGAUGAUAUAGUAGUGCCAUCGGUGAGUUUGACGCAUGUUUUUUAUAUUCUAAUAUUACUUUUUACCAUUGGUUCCAAUGAAUAAUCGUCCCUUUAAUUAUUUGUACAUGAUGGUCUUCUUGAUGUGAUUACGGUUACUUUUUCCAGGUAGACUAUGAGUUUGAUCCACUAACUGGUUCAUUUGGUAGGCUGUUGCGUCAUGAUCAAAAGCUGUUUUCUUCUAAUUUGUCAAUUCUCUUAAAAUGGUCCCCUUUUGCCACUGAGGCUGAAUUAUCAAAGGAAGUAAGUUACAUAUUAUUCCUCAGCUAGCUGCCUAACUUGUAUUAUUUAUGUGCAUGUAUGCUUUCCUUUUGCUAGUUUAGAGAAGCUUGUAAGAUGACUGACACUUAACUAUGUAUCACAUGAUGAAAUUUAAAUAGCACAGCUGGUAUGAUUGUGCAUCGGAUGAGACACUAAGAUACUAUGUUGUAAAAACUUUGAUGCCUGUUCUUGAUGAUGUAAGAAACUUAUACCCAUUGCGAGUGCAGCAUUGGAUAAAAUUUAUUAGAGAGGCCUGAGUGCUGGUGUGGCAGAUUAUUUUGAUAUUAUAGUCAAUUUUAAGCAUGUGAAACUAAGCAUGAUGAGAAGAUAUUUGUUCUGCGAGUGGUGGUUAGUAAACUCUUUGGACGAAAAAAAAGGAUAAGCUUUGCUUGAUCUUGAUAGUUGGAAUUAUCCCUUCUAAUAUUUCAUGCUUGACCGAAAAUGGAUCUCAAUUUUAUGCAUUGUGUUAUGUUAAUCAGUGAACCAUUCUUAUGUAAACGUAAAUCACCGAAUGAUGAUAAAUUUCUUAUUUUUAUUAUUCUUGUAAACAUAGAGUGGAAUGUUGCAACCAAUUCAUCACCCAUUCUAUGAUCUCUUCAACUAUCUGGUGUCAUUCUGAUAAAUCUAUAUGUUAUUGCCCUCCAUUUUCAAUGUUAAAUCCAAUCUUAUUGCAUAUUCUAUCACCCAAGUUCUCUGAAAUUCUCUUUCCCUUUCUUGGAUAUUUUCUAAACUUGCUUUGAAUUUAAUGAGCAGUUUGAUGAAAUAGGACAAUGUGGCACGAGAAUAGUUGUAUUCAAUCUAUGGCUUAAUGAUGAUGGGGACAUGGAGCUCAAUUUUGACUCUGAUGCUAAGGUUCUUAAUUAUCUUCUGUUUAUUACUAUAAUUUUCUGUCCUUUUCAUUAGUAGAUGCUAAAUCCUAUGAUUUGUAAAUUCUUUUGAUUUAUUGAUUUGAAAUAGUCUUCUCCUCUUUUUUUUUUUUUUGGUUUUGAAACUGAACAAGGUACCACAGCCAAUUGCAUUCUGUUUGUUAUUUAAAGUUAUCUAUAUUCUAUCCUGAAGCAUUGUAUGUCUUUCACGUAUCUCUUCUUCACAAUAUUGCUUGGUUUCCGUCGUAUUUGCAUAAUCAUAUGUUACUUUCAUGUUAAUUUGUCAUUGCUGUACACUAUCUUCUUCCUUGUCCUUCACCAAUAUUGACUAGAGUGGUUGCUAUUUUCAGGAUAUAUUGAUCAGUGGAGCACAUAAUAAAGUGAAAACAAAUAGUAUGGAAAAGGCACUGACCAAAAAUUAUGUCGCAAGACGGCUUAAUUUUUCUCUUCGAGUAAGUUAUUAGGGAAUAUUCGAUGAUUUGCCAAAAUUAUUUUUCUGUUGCAUUAAUUAAUUAUUUUUUUUUUGGUUUUUUGAAUUCAUCCAGGCAUAUGCGUCUAUACUGUAUCUUCAUCUACCGGAGAAUUUCAGAAUUAUCUUACGUGGUGAAGUUGUUGAGCCUUACCAUAUUGCUAAUGAUUUGAUAUAUCGUGAAUGUGUCUUGUAUAGACCACAAGUUGCUGGAGUCGUCGAGGUUUGUAUCGUAGAAGAUUCAUUGUUAUUACUGUAUUGAGUUCAUGCUUGACUUUUUGUUCUCGUGUACCAAUGCAUCGAAUUUAGCUGCAUGUAGAAUUAGCUUGGAAGUUGAUUAAUAUUUUAGUUCAUUUUGUUAUUGUAUAAAUACUGGAAAACAACUUUGAGGUUGAUUGGAAAAAAAAAAAAAUUGAGCAGCGCCUUCUAUUUAGUUCUAUUUAUUUUCUACUCAAUUACCCCUCCUGAGUGGUUCACAUUGUGAUCUUCAUUCGACAUAUCCGACUCAUCUUUUCUGCUUUCUAGAUUUUAACCAAUAUAUGAUACCCCCUUAUCAUAUGUGCCAAAAUGUUUCAAAAUAUACAAUAUGUAGUAUGAUGGUCUACUUUAUGUUGCAUGCCAUAGUAAUCUCAUUGGUAGGGUUUCUUUCUUCCAUUGUUGCCUUCAUUUUAUAACUACUGCAUAUCUCUUUAUUCUUUGUUCAGGCUUCUGUUGUCACUACCAUUGGCUUUCUCAAAGGUGCUCCACAAAUUGACAUUCAAGGGUUCAAUGUAUAUCACAAAAAUCGCUUGAUAUUGGUGAGAAAUAUUCUUUGUCACCCUUGUAAAAUGACUGAAGAAAUUUUUUGCCGACAUUCUCUUUUGCACUAUUUCCUUAGUUAUUUUAUUUCCCUGUGAUGUAAAGGAGUUUGCAGUAGUGGGACAUGUGUCUGUUGCAUGCUUACAUGGUUAGAUUCUGUGGAAGUUAUUGAAACAAGUGUAGCCUCCGGUGCCAAGUUUGAUGUUCUUUAUUCUUGCCAACUUUUUCUGAAGCUGUAUGGAUCUGUCAAUCUGUCAUUUAACAAUUUUAAGUUGUUUAUGAGGAUUGGUAUUACUGUUGACAAUUUGGUGCCAUAAAUUUGUACUUAGUGUCUUGUAUCCAGUUUCUCUUUCAUAUCAUAUAUUACUUGUAUGCUGUUCUAUCUUCUUCAAUCAAUUUCAUGCACCAUCAGAAAUUACUUUAAUUGAAUUUUCUUGCAGCCCUUCUGGAGAGUUGCUAACAAUUCCUAUGGUAAAGGACGAGGUGUUGUUGGUAAGAAAAAUUCCACCACCGGCAUUUUAUGGCAAUUUUGUGAAUAGAUAAAUCAGGCUUUAUAGAACAAACUAAUGAUUAUUAUUUGCAUCCUGUACAUUCCCCAUAUUUUCAGGCAUACUUGAGGCAAAUUUUAUUAAACCUACGCAUGAUAAGCAGGACUUUGAGAAAUCAACUCUUUAUCAGAAACUUGAAUACCGCUUGAAAGAAAUGACUUAUGAAUAUUGGUAAAGUUUCAGUCCUUUUUUUUUUUCUUUUUGUAAGAGUUAUUUUUCUCGCUCUAAUUCGUAUUUUCAUCAAUGUAAUGCAGUAAAAUAUGGUUUGGGAUUGUGAGCCACUUUUUUUUUUAUGUGAAAUCCGCUUUUUCAAUGGUAUAUGGCAGAAUUUGCUCUUACAACAUUCUGAGAAGUCUUACGAGUGAAAGUUAUUAGAAUUAGUGGCUACAACUUGGUUUUUAAAAUGUUUGCUGAUGUACAUCUGAGGUCAAUGUACUCAUAAUUCCACAAUAGUUAAUCAUAACAUUUUGUUCAUAGAUUUUUUUGGAGUUUUAUAUGGCACAAACUGUUUUUUUUUCGUUGUCGAUAUACUUGUCUUUCCUACCAACUGAAGCAGCAAUUAACUUGUUUUUAAUUUCUUUAGGGACCUUCAUUGUCAUUUGGUAGGCUACAAUAAUCCGAAAAAGCGCAAGGCUUCAUUUCCGAAUAUUGCUCCUGCUAGCGAGAUAAACAAUGUUGUAAUACAGCCGCCUGCUGCUGAUGCUUCAACAAACUGCCUAGUCCUCCCUGCUCUAGAAGCUGCCUCCGAAAACGGGACAGAACAUGUUAAUCACAAUGGCAGUUUACAAACUAAUCAGAAAGCUAGUUCACAGACUAGUAAGUCGGAGACUUAUCUCAGUAUGCCUAUCGGAGAUAUUCUCAUAUGAUUAACAUGUAGCAAUUCUGAUGCCAACAGAACUACCAGUAAGAAGGAGGCACGAUAGUCUCAAUGCUGUGACAGAAGUUGCAGAACCAUCAGAGGCAGGAACUGUAUCUUCCAUACUGGAAGCCAAAGAUAUUCUCAAGACUCAGGUAGGGAUUCGCAAAUCUGUUUUAAUUGAUGUUGCAAAUUUGCAAAUUUGGUGUAGCCUGGAUAAAAGGCCUAGAUGUGGAAACCCUCUCAAGUGGCUAGUUGGUGGGAUGGUGGUACAUACGCAACAUGCCUUUGAUGUAAGUUGCGUGAGCAAGAUAAUUUUCCUUGGGUUCCAGAGGAAACUUGAGUUGCAAAUGUAGGAGCCAAAUGUGAGAUGUACCUAACUAGCCUCCUUGAAAGAUGCACAACAUUUUUCUCUCCCACCUAUUCAACAACUGGAUCCUGCUAGGUGAAUGGCAUGUCUUGUUGUAGGAAGCAGUGAAAUGCGUGCCAACUUCGUCUGCAGUGUCAAAACUUGUUGGUUAACCUCCUAGAACUUCAAACUUACUAAGAGCUUAGAGUAAUUUGGUAUAAUUUUUCUGCCAUGUAAUGUGAAAUAAUAAUCUGGGCCUUGUAUAGUCUUGAUAGUGUUGUAGUUAGUUCUAGGACCAAAGGGAAUAAAAUUGUCAAAAUUGCGGAAGCAGCUAUAAGCUUGUAAAUGAUAGUAGAGAAUUCUUCCACACAGGGGAUGUACAGGGAGGAUUAACACCAACUCUUUAUAUGCUUUUAUUUACUUGUUAGCAAGUUUAAAGAAAGGUGAAAGACCUUAAAAUGUUAUAUUUAACUUGUCGUUUAAAUUUGCAGCUGGGGCGCGGUGCUGGACAGAAGCGAAUACAUGAACUUAAAACAAUGAUCCUAGAAAGCAAGAAGCUACGAGCGCAGUGAGUUAAUAGUAAUCUGUAUUGUUUCUAAUUGGUUUUUUGCUGCUAAUACUCAAGAUAUAUUUUUUGUACUUUGAGCUUGAUGGUUGUUAGAGACUUAUUGUAGUCAUAAUUCAUUAGCCGAGGAUGUGUUAGUGUGUAUGACCGUGUUUCUCUCUUUAUUCAGGUGUUCGGAACUUGAAAAGACGGAAAAGCAGCUUGUGCAAAAGGUAAUGUCUUUUAGGUUCUCCGAGUCCUAUUCUUUCUGUCUAAAAUAUAGAAUGUUUGAGCCUUGUAAUAUUGGUUCUUUGAGCAUACAACAUUGGGCUACCUUUCUUUUCCCUCGUGUAUACAUUGUUCGUAAAAAACAUUCUGGACCAAAAAAUUGCUGUGUUAAUGACUGAUGCACGAUCAUUUCUGAGAAUUCGUUUGAGGAACUUUAUCAUCAUGUUUGCCAGGAACAAGGGCUUAGAAAUCAGCUCCAAGAGGCCCGAAAGGAGUACAAGAAAUUAUUGAUCAAACUCGAAUUGGCAGAAAAGUUGCAGAAGUUGUGACCUGCGGUUCUCACUCCAUGACUAACCUAACCUCGACUUCAGUGUAAUUUGAUUUUGCCAUAUCCAUUCAGUCACACGAUCAUAACAUUUGGGGCCAAGUUUAUUUUGAAGAGGGGGGUGUGUUGGCAGGGUGGUAUUGAAAAGGUUUCUAGUGCCGAUGAGGUCUUCGAUAAACGUAGCUGCUCUCUUAUCCUGGGAGAAGGAAACUUUUGCACUAUGGAUCAUGUGGUUGUCUGACACGCUAACCUUCGGCAGUUCAUGUAGAUUAUAUCUGCUCAGUUGUGUUGUAAAAAUAUGUGUAACAAUCUUCAGUUUAUGAAAAAAAUAUUAAUCUCUUUAUCUUUUAUUGAUCCUAAAGAAUGUUGUACCCAUAAUUUGCCGAAAGUACACCUUGUGCCCAUUUUAUUAUCAUUUCCUGGCCAUUUUAUUUCUGCUCUUGAAACUCAUCUGCUCGUGGAGUAGAAGCCAAACUGAUUGUCACAUGAUAUUUAGAACUUGCAAUUGCUAGAGAGGAACAAAAAGGAAAAAAGUUGAAAUGAGCUUUUGGGUUCUACGAACACAAGUUUUUCAUGGUGUUUUGCUAGUUUUGUUUGGUACCUUCUCUUUGCAUGAAAUUUCCAGUUAGUAGUCAGGUGUUGGUAGCUACUUUAGAUAGAGGAUUUAUUGAAGAGUGGAAACAAAAGCUGAUAAUGUUUUUGAUAUGUAGAUUCAUGGAAUAUGUUACAAACUGGUAAUUGAAUUUGAUGAGAUUCAAUAAAUUUGAUCUAUUAUCACUUUUCUGCAAAGUUUAGCUCACUGCAAAAUUUAGUUCAAGAACAUGUUUGUUCUUAUUGUACCUUUUCUUUAUUUUGUGUGACUAUGAAGAUAAACUGAAUUUUGGUUGGGUGAGGUAUGUUUAUGGUUUGGACCGCAUGAGCUAAAUAUGCAAUAACUAUAAAAUCUCAGAUUUGUUAGCUUUUUUCUUAUACAGUGUAUUAUGUUAAGAGUUAGAGUUUUUUUUUUUAAUUUUUAAAACUUUAUUUUCUAUUAAAUUUGUACAAGUGAAAAAGAAUGCGAAAGAUUAUUAGGCUUGAAACUUACUGCUUUUGCUAGAUUUAGAAAAGCUCUUAGGAGGUCUAAACUAAAAUCAAAUCUCUAGAAUAUUUUGACAUAUUGGUAUAAAUCAUAUCUAUCAAAUUAUAUUUUAAUUUUAAAAUUUUAAAAUUUUAUAAUUUAAAAUUUUAAUCAUUAAAUAUGCGGUACGGCGUAAGUGAUGUAUUUGAAUUUUCUUUCCACGCGGAUGAUUAUUAUAGGCCAUUAUUAGUGUUUGAUUAGAAGGGGUGAUAACUAAUAAUUAACUAAAUAGAGAUAAGGAGUAUUUUAGGAAUAGGUGUAUUUUAAGAGCAUAGAUACCUUGGAAGAAUAGUUAGCAUAAAAAUAUAUGUAUAUUGAGAUGGGUUUAUUCUGGGAAGAGAGGAGGGUUUGGAAGAAACUUAAUAAAUCAAAAAUUUUGAUUCAAAAACUUUUUAUUCGCUCUUUUAUAUAUAAUAAUAUGCGAUUAUAAGCCCAUAAAAUGACAUUUACUGUUGGCUCAUUUUGUGCAACUAAAUAAACAUAGCUCAAUUUAUUCAGUUAAAUAAACAUAAAUUGUGAAAGCAAUUGUCUAGUUAUUCAUUUAAUGGCCUUGUCCAAGCCUGGUUACUCACUCUUUCUUUAUGCUUGUUCAGAAAUUAGAUGUGUCCAAGCAGGUGACAUUCAUUGUGGGCUCAUUUAUUUCUUGUGAGAAGGUGAAGUAAUUAGUACAUACAUACACAUAAUAUGACUCUUUGAUGCAUUUAAAUGCUGUAAAACUCUUGACUUUUUGGUAAAUUUCAAGAUAUUAGCAUUACUUUAUACUAGUUUACGAUUUGAGAUACUAGAGGAUUAACCAAUUUUCUUGUUUUUCAUAUUUGAGCAAAUUCCAUUCUAUCAUAAUUUUUUCUUUAUGUCCAGAAAAUUAAAUAGCUUGGCCCUACAUAUGAGAGAACAUGGAUUCGAGAACAUGAGGAAAGAAGUUGUAUAGUUUUUACUGACAUAGAUUUAAUAGUUUUCUAACCGGCUCAACUACUGUCUAUUCAAACUCACACACCGGUUCUUCUUCAUACAAUCUUUACAACAAAAUUUUUUUUUUAACCACGGUCAACUCGCCCUAUUCAAAGUACACAACUAAGAUUUAUUGUUAGUUUGUCAUAUUCCUUUUUAAUUUAUUCUCCGUCCACCACCUAUUUAAUUCCAAUGUUCUCAACUCACCAGCCAAAUAUAGAAGAAGGUAAAAUGAUGAUUAGUUCGAGUGGUGGUAAAAUGACGGAUUAGAGUGAGCACUCAAGAUUAGAAGCAAGUCGAGAGAAGAAAAAGAAGAGCCUAUGGGAGCAAACCAUCAAAGUGGAAGAUAUAAAAAGGAAGCAAGUCAAGAGAAAUAAAAGAAGAGAAAAGUAGAGAGAGGUUAAGAGGAAAAUUUGUGUUUGUAUCCCAAUAAAAAUAGAACUAACGAGAUAGAAAUAGGAAAAUUUGUGAUUGUAUCCCAAUAAAAAUUCCUAAUACAAUUUAGUGUUUGUUUAAUUCAUGUUCUAUGCUAAGAAUUUAAAAAAAUUACAAAAAAACCCCUGAAAAAUAGCAAAGACAAUAUUACUUCAGAUUUUUACUAUAAAAAAAGAGAAUAUUAUAGCCUACAUAUAUGUAAAGCUCCGAUAGUUCACAUCCAUGUAUAUAAUGAUGUUGGACCAUAGUAAUAAUAACCGGACUUAAGUAAUUUGAGUCAGUGGUUUGGAUCCAACGAAUAAUUAUUGCUAGCGGGUCUGAUUGUUAUAUUUGAUAUUAGAGUUGUUGAGAGCUAAGUCCUACGUGGGACAAUUGAACCCUCAAGAGCGCCUCUAAAAUCUCACAUCCAUGUUAUUUAUUAUGUGCAGUGAUUGGAUGUGGACCAGACGAGAUCGCAGGAGCCAUCUCUAAAAUCUCACAUUGUCUAGUAAUUCUGGUGUAUGUGUGGUGAUUAGGUUUGGAUAACAGUUCCACAUUGGUUAGGAAAGGGAUUACAGUUGGGUAUAUAAGGAUCAACAACCCUAAUAAUACCUAGUAAUAAUAACUAGCUUAAACAUUUUGGGAAAUCUUCAUCCCAAUUUAGUUAUACGCACACAGCCUUUACUGAUGAUUUAAAGUUUGUCAAGUUGAUUCCAUUGACUCAGUGAUCAAACAGAACCAAACUCUGCUGACCUUGAUGAGUUACUCAGAACUCAAGCUGAGUCCAAAUUAAUCGAGUUUACAUAUGACGCUAGCAUAUGUAAACUAUAGUCAAUUCCCUCAAAACACUUAAGUAGAGUGAAUGUAUAUAACAACUCUAUACUUGCAAAAGUUCAUUACUGGAAUUGAGUUCUGAAUAACAUUUCACAUCACCGAGUUUUACUGUAACUUACAUACACUGCUUUGGCAGCCAAGUCAAUUAAAAAACUAUUGUAUUGGACCAAAUCUUGAGUUUGAGCUAAUCAAAUUUCAGACCGUAAUUUUGCUUUUCUUAGAUUGUAUUUUUGGAAAGACAAUUUAAAGAAAUUUUAGAAGUUAUCAGCUACUUGGAAGAAUAUGUUAAGAUUAUGCUGAAGCGUCGAGUCUUUAAGGUUAUGAUCAUAACACAAGUUACUGGUUAGUGCACAGCAUCACCUCCUUGUUCUAAAAUGUUCAGAAGAGAGGAAACAAAUGAUACACAAUGUGACAAUGGAUCUCUAAUUAGUUAGCAUGUGUUGUUAUGCGACUUUGUUAAUGUCUUGCUCAACCUAUCGUUCCUCUGUAAGCAACCGACACUUGAGGGAUCGAAAAGUCCAUAUGCUUUGCCAUAACUUUUCCAGCAGAAAGGCUUCUGCAAAGCUUGAGAAUUGUUUUCUGGUGAGAGUUUGACAUUAAUCAGAUUGAGACCACUGCAUGGAGUGCUGUCGCUGCACGCAAGAUGCAUUGGUUGAAAAGAAUACGUCCCGCUUAUCCCUUUGUAUGUGAUGUCGGAUAUCGCCACCGCGUCAGUCUUGUUCUUGCAUGAUUUCUUGUUGCAGUAGUACUGGUCGAUCACGAUCGGGAUCUCGACGUUCGAGACCUUGACGUUGGAAAAUGUUACAUUCCUCACAGAUCCUACACCUCCCUGAGAUCACAAAUUCAUAGUAAAUUAGCUGGAAUACAUUUCUAGAAACUCGUAAUUCAUUCUAUCCGAUUGCUUCUUUUCCCAUCAUAUUGUGUGCAGUACUGGUAUAGAAGGUAAUACUUUCCUGAAAAAUUACCUGCCAGGUUUUGAUCCUGACUCCCGACAAAGCAUUCUGCACAUUGAUGUUAUCAACAGAUACAUCAGAAACACAUGCCAAGCUAUUACUUCUGCCGAGUCCUCCCAAGCUGUAAUUAUUGCACCAGGUCAAACUCGAAGUAAUUUCGUAAUAUAUAUUCCUCGGUUUUGGACUUUUAUCGGUUCCUUUACCUGAUUCCAUGGCCUGGGUUGCAGUUGACAUUGUGUAUGUGAAUGUUUGAGCAUCCGGUUUGUAUCGAUACACAAUCGUCACCUGCAAAUAUUUCAGAAACAAUGAGCUGCUGCAGAAUUGAAGAGUUCCGAAGUAUGCUCUACUGAAGUCUACUUUGAAUAAUCAACCAACAUAAAGUUCAGAUGGCCAGCAAUACCACAUCCGAUGUUCGAGUUCUUGAUUUCGACGUCUCGAGUAUUCUGAAGGUGAAUGCCGUCAGUGUUCGGGCUAUCCUGCGAAGAAGAAAUGGUGAGGCUCUUCACUUUAAUCCCUCGAGAACUGUCGAACUUCAGGUGGCAUUGAGGGCUGUUGACAAUUCGGAUGUUGCGCACGGUAAUAUUGUAGCUCUUGUAGAAUCUUAUAACCUGGAAAGACAAAUUAACUGCAUUGGUUCUGUCUCUUGUUUACGAUACGGAAAAUUAAACAGAAAUUUUCAGUGAGCAGCCAGUCAUACUGUCGGUCUCGUCUCUGGUUUUGCUUUCUGCAACACAAAGCGCGAGAAAUUAUUUUGAUUACAUUAGUAUAAAACGAAAGAGGUCAAAAUCUGAUAAUAACGUGAAUCCGAAAUGUUGGAUGAUACGGUAAUCAUUAUCUUACCGGAGACUGAUGGAAUUGUGAGGUAUUCCUUAACUGCGAACCUUGGCCGUCAAGUGUGCCACUACCUUGGAUGGUGAAAUCAUGAAGCCACUUGAAGUUCAACCACUGGAGGAGAUUGUAUUUGGGCCAUGCAGAUGUACUUGAAGGUGCUAAGAGUGUCCCAUCUAUCUGAAAAUUUACCAUCAGUUAAACAAACUUCGACACAUAUUAGUUAUUAGACACUACCAACAAAAUCGUCUUCGAAAACCAAGAUAUUUGCAGCUUAACAAUCAAUAGUGAAAGGUUUCAAAUUGUCGAAGAACAUCCCAAGUCUGCGAAUCUCGAUCCUUUUCUUAAAAAUGUAUAGCUUAAAAUAGAGGAAGAAAAUGUUAGAGUGGCAAAGAUUAUGAUGAGAGGACCUGGAGAAUAAGAUGAGGCAUGCAAGGACCUUGGAGAGUGACUGGCUUGAUGAGGAAAUUGUAUCCUGUGGGGAUCUCUAUGGUUGCUUUGGAAACUUUGCAAGCUGCCUUCCAUGCUGAUACAAGUGCCUGCCAACAAUUAUUUUCCAAAUUAAUAGGAAUUCAAAGCAACACCAUCUAUUUGAAAACAUCAUAAAUCGCAAAUUCGUGCGUCGAUCAAUUGAAUAACUUCAUCAUUAUUGAAUAACUUCAUCAUAAAUCUGUAUGUAUGCAAAAUGUGGUGCUCAAGGAAUUGCAAAUGCAAAGUCUACUAAUGUCGUUUCUACGUAGAAAGGAAAUCAAAUUCUGAAAAUUAUGGAAGAUUCAAAGAAGCAGCAGCAUAUCUCAAAACCAAUGUAAAUGCAUGCACUUUUUAUGUAUUAACAGGUUGAGUCAUGCUACAUGACAACGAAACAUGAAUUCUUAAGCUUUCUAAAUACCUUCGAAUCGUCGGAGGCUCCAUCUCCUGCAGCUCCAAAAGACAAGACACUGUAGAUCCUCGAACCAUAGCGAGGAGGUGGCGAAGAGUAAUUACGCAAAUAAUCUUUGCGAAGUAUAUGUUUGAAAUCUCUACUUGCACCUCCAUAAUCUUCAUGCUUGUCUGUUCUGCCUGGCUUUUCCUGUCUCUUCACUGAUGAUAUUGAAGGGAUUAUAAUGUUGGAGAAUGCCAACAAAAUAAGUAAAUGACACACAAGUGAGUAACUCUGAUUUGCCAUUCUAACUGUUUGAUUUGUUACUUCACUUGCAGUUUGGUUCUUCUCUUGAGUUUAAACAGGUGGUGGUUACAGGUACUAUAAAUAAGAACAAGGUUACCACUUCAACCCUGAUCUUACUAAUAUUUACGGAAUUAGCUCCAGCUACAAUUUUUUAUGACUAAAUAGUGUCCUUCUGACCACUGUUCAUUUAGUUAAUUAGCAUUAGCGUUUGCGAUCGGCUACGAAAUACAGAAGCCAAGUAUGUGUUUGGCAUUUUUCAUCUUUUUUUGUUCCUAGCUUUUUAAAGAUUAAAUGAAAGUAAUUAGCAUUCUUUCUAUAUUACGGGUUCCGUUAAUUCUAUUGUGUUUUAGUUGUCUUGUAAAAAUAUAUAUAAUGUUGCUCGCCGACCGUGAAUAGCAAAUUAAAGAAUUAAUUUCUAGGUGUCUCUGACCUCAAUGGAUAUGAUGUUGUUGACUUAAGAUUCCACAUUCUUCGGCGUACGAAAUGGCCAGCAUGUGUUGUCAUGCAUUCGCAGUCUCAUGUGGUGGUCACAACAGGCAAAAGGAAUUAAAAGGAGAGAGAGCAUGAGCAAGCCAAGAGGAUCUAUACUUCAGUGCAACACAAUUGGCUGGACCAAGAAUGUUAUCUCAUUUUUAAAUUCCGAAAGACUCGAAAAGUGCUAAAGAUGGUGUCUGAUAAGAUAAAAAUAGGAUUGAAUCUCCAAAGCUCUUAUCUCUAAAGCAGAUAGUGUUAUGAUGGAUAUUAUUAUUGUAGUGAAUUCAGAUUUUAAACAUCUUAGUUUAUUGAGAGUGCCACGGAAUCUUAUUUCUCGCAGGAAUUAAAAAAAGGAUUUGUCACCAGAUUCUGCACAGCAAGAGAUCUGACAUGAAACAAUUAAUAACUGAGAUUGAGGAGCAUAACGAAAAAUUGGAACAAUGUGUUCUAAGGAUUACAGUUGAUAACUUCUUAUGAGCGCACCGUAUAUUCGAAACGUAAAAGCUUUAUAAAAUGAAUAGAAUGAUGGGCUAUCAAUAUAGAUUGCAGGGAUGUGAGGUGGAUGGCAGAAACAAAUUAGUACAGACUAGGGAUGGUGAAAAAAAAAAUUGGCUAUUGAUUCAUUUAAAUUCUUCUGAACUACUCAUGUCAUUUUCCCCUUCAGAAUCUGCAACAGUGGUCCUUAAAUUCUCCAGGCACUGCACUCAGACAAUCUCCCUUUCAAGUUCCCCCUCCUUGGAUUAGUGCACCAAAAAAUGUCUGCUAUGUUAAUUCCACUACAAUCCUAAAAGUCCAACAAUUUGAAGCUCCAUCAUCCUAAUGUGAUCUGGACAACAAUCUUAAUUUUGCAGCAUGUUGAAGGUGAUUGGUGACCAAAUAGAGUUGGGCCCAAUUGGAGCCUGCAAGUGUGGAUUUUGGUUUGGUGUUGGGGUGCAUGUUCAUGUUCAGUUCAAGGGAGGGACAAAAGGGAAGGAUUGAAUGCAUGCUUCAUUAUAUCUGUUACUAAAUUUAGACCUUUUUUGCUUUAUGAGGAUGGGCAACAAACAACAAAAAAGAAAAAAAAACAUGGCAGCUUUGCUCCUCUUUAGCACAUGCAGAUGCUGAGCUUGUGGGAAUCUGCAGCAUGGGAUUUUCAUUAUCAUGCUGUGACCUGAUCUGUUAUUUAUGUUAUGUAAUGUGAGUUCCUAGGCAUAUGAUAGGAUCACCUUGCACACUUAAAUUGACUAAGAGACACUUAAGAAGCAAUCUGGUGUAUCUUUGGCUAUUGCAAAGUACUGUUCGAGGAGCGCUGUUCGAAGAAAUCAUAACUACUGUUUCUCGAUUCGUAAGCCUUCGUCAGCUUCUGGCUAUAGCUAAAAGCAAAUUACUUCAAGUAAAUUCGAACUUCUACUUUCAGGACUUGUGUAAAUUUAUGUUAGCGUUUUCGCAGAUGACUAGUUUGCCAAAGAAUCAUUCGCUUUAGACGCUAUUCUAGAUGUUUUAUAUAUGAAAAUAAUCGUCCAUUCUAAUACAACAUGACAUGAGUAGCAAGAGGAAGGAUUAUGGGAUCUUAAUGUUCUUAAUUAACAAGCAAAGAAAAUUGUUACAACUCAAAGAUUCCUCUGCAACAGAUUGUAUUUGCAAAGCUAAUCUUACAAUGCUUAAGGUAGUCAAAGAGGCAAACCCAGUCAACAAGCUCAAUGGGCUUGGCCCAACAAAUUUUGGGCCCCUGCUUACGCCUUAUUUGGUUUUCGAAAUAAAUUACUCAAUAAUAAUUUUUUUUUUUUUUUUUCAUAGAAUAUGAUAUAUGAAGUAGAUAAUUAAAUACUUACUCCAACAAAAGGUCAAAUAUCGUAGGUCACUCUCAACAUUAACAUUUGAUCUCAUUUCUCAUCUACCAACUACUAGUACCAAACUAAAUCAAAGUGCUAUACCGACCAGGAUGCUCAUGUAUAUCCUAACUAAUACCAAACAUACUCAUGUGAUACAAGCUGUAACUUUAGCAGCAGAUGCAGCAGAAUCAACCAUCUGAACUAAGAUCUGGCUGGUGCUAUGAAACAAUUUUCUACACUUAAAAGCAAGUUUUGGAUUUGAAGCUGGAAUAUUACUAGGAGCUAAUUUAUUUAUGUGGAUAGUCACAAAAUUAGCAAUUUAGCAUAAGAUCAGAUCACAAAAACAUAUAUGAUUGCUAAUAUCCCUGUUAUCUGAAUGGUCAACUCAACUCUGUUUAAUUUUGUAUGGUAGCUACAACUGUAAGGGAAAAAAAAACAAAACAAAAAAGUAUGAUAAGUAAACAACAGAUUGUGAGUGCAAAGAGAGAGUAGAUUAACCAAUUAAUGCGAAUUAACACAAUGAAUGAAUUGUGAAUUAUACCACCUAAUUAAACCAGUAAAAGCAAAUCUAGCCAUGCGUGUUGACAGCCUCCCAGACCAAGUUCUUCGGCACGGGGUUGGCCAGGUCGCGCGCCUGCAGCGCGGCGGCGCGGAGGGUGGCGAGGGUGCGGAGGUUGGCGUCCCAGAAGGAGGAGGAGGAGUACUGCAGGCCGUGCUUCUUGCAGAGGUCCUGGACCAGCGGCGCGACGCGGCGGAGGUGGCAGCGCGGCAGGCGCGGGAAGAGGUGGUGCUCGACCUGGAACUGCAGGCCGCCGUGGAACCAGUCCAUCCAGGGCGAGCACGAUAUGUCGAGCGUCCCCGCCGUCUGCUUCUCGAACCAGUCGUUCCCCCGCGGUGGCCCGACGUAGACGCUCGACGAGAAGUGGUUCAGGCAGAACUGCACGUGCUGCACUCCGGUCGCCGCGAAGCUGACGAGCACGAACGCCAGCCGCUCGGUCCAGGACGGCAGGAACGACAGCAGCAGCGGGAACCACGUCCAGAACACCAGCAGGCCGAGCAGCUCCUGCGCGCGGUGCGGCACGCGCUUGGCGGGGGAGAGCAGCAGGACGAGGGACUGCGCGAAGAGGUUGAGCCGCGCGAGGCACAUGACGGGGUAGAAAGUCCAGUGCUGGUAGCUGACGAGGAGGCGCGCGGCGCGGUCGAAGCGCAUGGUGCGGCCGUAGAAGGCCGAGCGCAGCGACGCGAAGAGCUUGGCGGACACGGCGAACAGCGGCAUGUGCUGCACGUCCGGGUCGAAGUCCAGGCUGUUGCACGCGAUGUGGUGCGCGUUGUGGUUCUGCUUCCACCACUCGAUGCUGAUCCCCGCCAUGCAGUUCCCCGCCACCACCUGCAAUAUUCAUUCAUUGUUAAUUAUCUUAAUUUUUCUUUAAUGCGGAAGGGGUGGCUUGGCUACUCGAUCGAUCGACCUGCACGAGUCGGUUCAAUGCGGGGGUGGGCAGGACGUUGUAGUGGCCGGAGUCGUGGCCGAGGAAGCCGGACUGCAUCCAGAGCGCGCCCAUGAGGGCCGCCGAGAGCAGGUGGACGAUGGCGCUGGAGGACGCGAGGACGCCGUAGACGGCGGCGGCGAGCAUGAGGAGCAUGGCGGCCAGCACGAGGAGCGCGCCGCGGCCCCUCUUCUCGAAGAGGCCGGCGCGCGCGAACUCGGCGACGAGGCGGCGGUAGUCGCGGGAGGCGUCGGAGACGGCGUAGUCGGCGAGGCGGGCGACGCAGAGGCGGUCGAGCAGCGCCCAGGCGGACGGCGGGUGGUAGGCGACGAAGGCGUCGGUGACGUCCUGCCCGCCCAGGCUGAGCAGCGGGAGCGCGCCGCCCGGGUGCCGCUCCGCCCACGCCGUCACGUCGUACACCUUCCCCUGGAUCGAUAUCCACAGGUCCGACGCCUUGUUGUGCCGCCGUAGCUCCUCCGUCGUAAUGUACCUCUCCGCCGCCGCAUCCGACUGCGACUUCUUCGUCGUCUUCGUCUUUGCUGCCAUUUUCCUUUUUUUAAUAUAGAUAGAUAUUUAAAAUUUUCUCCUCUUCUUCGUCUUCCUUUCUCUUGUGAGAGAGAGGAAGAGAAGAGGAGGGAAGGAGAUGGAAGGAAAGAGAGAGGAAAAUUGGAGAGGGGAAGGGAGGGUAAUGAAAGAGGAGGAUGUCUUGAUUGGUGGUAACGCGUAGAAACGGUUGAGGAGGCGCGGUGGAGAGCGCACGACGCGGAGGGGCCAGAAUAGAAAGCGGUAGACCAUUGGUUGCAUGAUCUGCUAAUAGCGAAACCAAAAAGAAAAACGCCGUGUCUAGUGCAUAUGUAGUUGGAAAAAUUAUAGAAUACACGCAUUAUAUUGGUGACGUGGCUUUUUCAAUCAAUCAAAUAAAUUUUUUGAAUUAAUCCAUCGCAUUAUGAUUAUAAAAAAAUAUUUUUAUUAUACUUUUUUCUAAAAGGUGAGACGUGAUUGACUGGUUAUUGUUGAUAUGUUCUCUAUAUAAUAAAUAUCUAAAUAGGGCUAGGGCUACUAUACUUUUAUGAGUAUAGAGCCUUUCGUAUUCAUAAGUUGUUUUCGAUGAUGGAACGACAAUCCACUUAGUUAAAUAUGAUCUACAGUAUUUGAAACUUUUAGAAAAUAAAUUUCGUAAUUUUUCGAAAUCAUAAUAAAGUUCAUCAAGUAGGUAUAAAAUGAACAGUCAAAAUCAAACAACAUUUUAAAAAUGGAUGAUUGGAUCCUUCAAUUUAAGAUCGAAGUUAUUACUCUUUAUCUAUGCAGUGAAUAGAAUUUUCUAUAAAAAAUUCAACUGAUUUCGAUUCUUUUACACCGUUAAACUAGUAAAUAUCCUAUACCGGCCGUUAAAAAUUGUCAAUUUUGUGACAUUUUAAUCGUAAGGUAAAUGAUGUCAAAAAAUUAUAAAAUUUGAUUUCUAGACGUUUUAAAUAUUCUAGAUAAUAUUUAACGGUGUGGACAGUCAAUUCGGAAGCUCUAUCAUCAAAAAUAAAUUAUGAGUACGAGAACGAUCGUACUCAUAAGGUAUCGUUUGGUUCGAAGAUAAGCAAAAAGUGAGUAUUCCAGGGAUAGAUAUAAAUUGAGGUAUAAGCGGGGAUUAGAUGAAUUUUGCGUUUGGAUGAAAAUUGAGUAUUUUUGAGAAUAAGAAAAAUAGCGUUUGGUUAGGUAAGAUGGGAUAAAAUUAAAGUGAGUAUUUAUAAAUAAAAAAUAAUGAUAUUAUUUUUUUCUUUAUAUUAGAAUUUAAAUUUUUAUAUUUUAUAUUUAUAUUUUAAAAUUUAAAAUAUAAACUUUUAAAUUUUAAAAAUUAAAAUUAAAAUUUAAAAUUUUAAAAUCUCAAAUUUACAAUUUUAAAAAAUUAAUUUUUAAAAUUUUGAACUUUAAUUUAAGAUGAAAUUUUAAUUUAAAAUACAAAAUAUCAUAUUCUAAAUAUAAAAAAAUUAAAAUAUCAAAUUUUAAAAUUUUAAAUUAAACAAUUUAAAAUUUAAAUUUUUAAUUUUGUAAUUUUAAAAUUAUAAAUUUUAAUUUUUGAAUUUAGAAAAUUUAAAUUUUACUGGUGGAACAANUUGCCCAUCUAACCCUUGUUCGAUAAGGGUGGGAAUUGCCCAUUAUUGUCCUUUAGAUGGGCAAUUCCCACCCUUAUCGAACAAGGGUGGGAAUCCACCUUAUCCCCACCCUUGUUCAAGGGUGGGAAUAGCUUGUUCCCACCCUUAGAUAUAGUAUUUGGGGAACAAGGAGGGGAUAACUCUUUAUCCCCUUCCUUGUUCCCCAACCAAACAGGGCAUAAGAGUAUUGUAGUCAAACUCAUCUAAAUAGUUUUACGAAGUGGAAGAGUGUGAUAAAUUUAUAAGUGAUGAAAUGAUUUGGACGUUACGUUUGGUAUCUGAUGGAUGGUACAGGUGCACCCGGUGCAGUCUGCUUGCAAAAUCCAGCGCAUACCCGGCGCCGAAUCUGGCAGUGGUGAUGCCAGCCAGCCAGCCAGCCAGCCAUUCGUUGCUUUUCCUUUCCCGUCCCACCAUAUCUGCACAGUGUAUUGCAAUACCCUCCUUUUAAAUUUUAAAUUGGCCCCUUCCCUUUGCUGCUUUCAAAUUUUGUAUUUUGUAAUGACUAAUUGACUACUGCUGCAUAUGAAGUUAAUAUUUUUUUUUAGGCAAAAAAUAGCACGCUAUCUAUUUUAUUCAUUUAGAAGGUGAAUUAAGCUAUAUGAAUGAGACAUUAUAGGCCUAGAGGAUGGCGAAAACGAAACAACAAAACAAUAAACACUAACGAUUACAGUGAUGCCUCUCUAUUGAGAGAAGUUGCUUCCAUUGGAUCGUCAGCUGUUUAAUCUUGUAGAAUUUACGGAUUGGGUCUGACUGGAUCAUCCCAAAAAUCGCACCAUUUCUAACAUCUCAAAUGACCCACAAGUAGGUUAUUAAUUCAAUUAGCCUGAUGCUCAUAGAUUACGUUUUCUUUUCAUAUAUCCCAACCCAAAUUCACAUCAUCGCUCAAAUCUCCUAACUGGAUAUUUUCUAAGAUCAUCACCAUAAGUGUGCUGUAAAGUUAAUAUUUCUGUAUAGCAGCAAUACUAUAUUAUCUUUAUCAUAAGUCAAUUAAAAACUUUUUUUGCUUGAAAAAAAAAAUACAAUAAAAAUAUUUUAAAAAAUUUGUGAUGAUGGGUGAUACAACUGUCAUAUUUUAGACCUUUUUUUUGGUCCAGUCAAGCACUAAUUGUGUUGCUAUAAUAUUUUCAAUAUUGGAUAUAAAAGGAUAAUCAUAUCUGAAGUAUAUAAGGGAAAAAAAACAUUCUAGCUUCAUAACUCCUAUUCAAAUUGAACUUGAAUUUAAGUUUAUUUUUUGAACUCGACAAAUUACUCCUUUUUUUUUUAAGAAAAAGGUAGCAUAUCAUUCGUCUUAUUUGAAAAAAAAUAAACUCAGUUUUAAUUGUGAGGCAACUAGGCCUGUGGUUAAAGAGGAGCAAGAAGAAGAAGAAGAAAAAAAAGACAAAAGAAAGGGCGAAAAAAAGAAUGCAAAACUAUAUAAGAGAAUUGGGCCAUAGUCCUCUACCAUUCUCUCCACUCUAAAAAGGCCCAAUUUUUCAGUUUGAAUUGGUCUUGGGCUUUGCUUAUAACAAGACUAGAGAAUGUCUUCUCUAACUCUUGUAUACAAAAUAUAGGGGUAAAUGCCUUCGGGUCCAUAUAAACAUAGUCAAUUAUAAAUAUAUCUCCACAAAGUUCAACUUUUAUAUGUUGUCUUUACAAAAGUUCUAAUAUUUUCAAAUAUGUCAUUCUGAUUUGUUACUGUUAGAGAACCGAUAGAGAAUUGUUUAUGUUUUCAAUUUUGCCAUAUCAAAUAUGUCCGUUCAAAAACCACAACAGUAUAAUAUAAGAGGGGUAAAAAUAUCAAAUUAUCUCAUAAAUUAAUCAGGAUAAACCUAUGGUUAACUUAAAUUUUUUAACGGAUUUUAACGAUAGGAAUAUAUUUGAGAACAUUAGGACUUUGUAGGGACAACAUAUAAAAAUUUAAUUUUGUAGGGAUAUACUUACAAUUCACUAUAUUUUGUAAGAACAUGUAUGCAAUUAAUCCUAAAAUAUUUGGUUAUGAUCAAACUUUUUAUUUGAUUUCUUAGUUUUUAUUUGAUUCGCUAUAAAUUAAAAUUUUUUGUAACUCUAUUUUUUCAAAACACCGUAAUAAACUUCACCCAAGGAGUGGCAAAAUCAAACAUGAAGGAAAAAAAUGUUAACCCGCCAAAAAGCCGAAACUAUAAAUUUGCAAUUGAAUUUCAACUCUAUCAUUAAGCAAAAUUAUAUCAAGUAAAAUCUAGAAUAUUGAAAUGUUAACAAACAAAUUAAAACAUAUAUUAUGCUUUAGUAGUUUGGUUUAAAACUGUUGUCUCUUAAUUGAGAACCAAUCAGAACACAAGCGCCAAUCCCUCCUAUUAAAAUUUUCUAAUAAAUACCGACCGUCCCUAGAGCAAGUGGCAAAAGGUUUGGUGGUUGGUACCCGAGACUCAAGUUCGAAUCCUAGUUGAUUUACAUUUCCAGCUAAGUUUAUUUUUAAAUGAAAUAAACGAAGCGGGUAACGUGCUACCUAUCUCUCAAAAAAAAAAAAAAUCUUAUAAAUUCUACUAAUA